GCAUCAAAUCUUUGUUCAACGAUUUUUAUUCAUGAGUAUAGGAGUGAAUAAAACGCUGUAAACAGCAGAUCAUACUCCUCUCCAAUUUGUAAUGGUUCACCCUUAUCCACUUUGGUUCACAAAAACCAUAAUCUAUGCAUUAAUAUAACACUCUUUAUACUAUACUAUUAUAUACUAUGUAUAUUUCUCCCAACGAAAGGUAUGAAUGUAUUUAUAUACUAUAUAUAUUUCUCCCAAUGAAAAGAGUGUGUUUAUAUAAGAAAAUAAAAUUUUAACACCAUUUUUUACACCAUUUUGACACUGCACACGUGUCAAAAUGUGAUUGGAAGAUUUCAAAUUAAAAGAUAAACUUUUGUUUUUCUCUUCCAAAUAUACCCUGUCUCAACUUUUUUAAUUUAAAAUCAUCCAAUCACAUCUUGACAGUGUCAAAAUAGUGUCAAAAAAUGGUGUUAAAAUAUAUUUUCCGUUUAUAUACUAUAUAUAUUUCUCCCAAGUAUAGGUAAGGGUGUCUUCUCCUUCUCAGCUUCUUCCGUUGACUACCAAAUGGAACAACUUAAGCCAAGCGCUGC
rnacentral:lncRNA from 1 species